GGGCCUAUAGCUCAACGGUUAGAGCAGGGGACUCAUAAUCCUUUGGUUGGAGGUUCGAAUCCUCCUGGGCCCACCA
rnacentral:tRNA from 1 species